rnacentral:lncRNA from 1 species
UUGAAGCCCGGUAUUUCUUUCAUCUUUCAUUAAGUGUGCCUCAACUAACUGAUUCAUUUUAAUAAUAAGCAAUUGUUUCAUAUCAUGAUCGGAUCACUUCUUAUAUUUUCCACUCAGAGGUGAACAAACUAAACAGGUCAGUUAUGCUUUUGAUCAAAGGUCAGUUGCAUUGAUUCAACCAUAAAGAAGCAUCGCAUGCAUUUUGUGCAUGCUCUGUACCUUAAGAAAGAAAAUCCAUGUGAUAAGUGCAUGCUCCGUACCUUAAGAAAGAAAUCCAUGUGAUAAGCACCGGUGAAAAAUAUAAUCUUUAUAUUUUGAAACACAAUAGAAGCAGCAGCAACAGAAUUUCAAAGUUGGCUCUGUGCAGCCUACUGAAAGUUUAAAGCCCCGAG